AACAUAUGUUAUUGGGUUUUGAAACAUCUGGGCUUGGGAAUGUUUUAGUCUGUAUCAAACUCAACAGAACCUCCAGUGCACUGUUUUUUUUCAGGGAUCCAUGUGUUAUUUGAGAAUCUCAAUUCAAUGAAUCAAGAAAGAGACAUAUCCACAGCUAUGGUCAAGUCAGUGCUUGUUAGGUAAGAUACUAAUUUAUUUUGUGUGUUCAAGGGGCCAUAUAAAAUGCCUGAGAUUCAAUUACCUCAGCCUGCUGUGUUUUUUUUUUGUUUUUUUUUUUUUUUUUUUUUUUUCUCCCCCCAAGUAGCAGGAAGCAAAGUCUGGAAUACUUCCUGAGAAAGAGAAGAGUAAAAAUAGGCACCUGUAUUUGUGGAGAUGGAUUGCAAACUGCACGGAGCUGAAAUGACAUUAAGAAAUGGGGUUUCUACCUAUGUUGAUGAAAUUAACAUGAGAAGAUAUAUUUUAGAAAUAUAUGGAUGGCGCCACCAGCCAGGCAGACUUGCAGGCUUUCUGCAGCUCCCCAGCACCCAAGAGCAGUGGCACCACCAUGGUCAUUGAAAAACAAGCAAGUGUUUGGUGGUUGGAUUUUGAAUUACAGGUUAUUCUCGCAUCAGAGUUUUUUGAGAUCCCUCUUACAUCUCAGCAUUAUUCAUGAGACUACAAAGUUCUUGUCUGCCAUGUGCAUUCAUUCAUGUUCAAAGCUUGCUAAGGAAUGCUACUUGGUUUCAUGUUCAAGAAAAUACUGCCGUAGGAUCAUUUGCUUUUUGUACUGACAAAGAGGCAAAACGUACCCUGUGACAUCAGGUCAGUUCAGUCGUUGGAGCCCUUGGAGAUUACAGCAUCUUCUUCCAUGCUCUUGGUGCCCUCCCUUUGGAGUUGCUAUGAGUGGGGAACAACCUACUGUUUUGGGAACACAGAGGCCGAGAGGUUCUUAACUGCUCUCUCAAUUAUUAAUUGGCUCUCUUGCCAAUGUAGAACUCUGUUUAAAUUGGUGUGCUUAUAAAAUAUGAGAUUACUUUAGGCCAGGUAAAUAUUUACUAAGCUGACAUAAAUAAAUAAAUAAAAACACUCUGUAUAAUUUAUCCU
rnacentral:lncRNA from 1 species